UACGAAGGGAGCUAGCGUUGUUCGGAAUUACUGGGCGUAAAGGGCGCGUAGGCGGUCCGAUAAGUCAGAUGUGAAAGCCCUGGGCUCAACCCGGGAACUGCGUUUGAUACUAUCGGUCUUGAAUUCGGGAGAGGUUGGUGGAAUUCCCAGUGUAGAGGUGAAAUUCGUAGAGAUUGGGAAGAACACCCGUGGCGAAGGCGGCCAACUGGACCGACAUUGACGCUGAGGCGCGAAAGCGUGGGGAGCAAACAGG
rnacentral:rRNA from 1 species